rnacentral:rRNA from 1 species
GGACUACCAGGGUAUCUAAUCCUGUUCGCUCCCCACGCUUUCGUCCAUCAGCGUCAGUUGUUGCUUAGUAACCUGCCUUCGCAAUUGGUGUUCUAAGUAAUAUCUAUGCAUUUCACCGCUACACUACUUAUUCCAGCUACUUCAACAACACUCAAGACUUGCAGUAUCAAUGGCAGUUUCACAGUUAAGCUGUGAGAUUUCACCACUGACUUACAAAUCCGCCUACGGACCCUUUAAACCCAAUAAAUCCGGAUAACGCUUGCACCCUCCGUAUUACCGCGGCGGCUGGCAC